AGACACUUUCCCUGAGAAGGAUACUCAAAUACAAAGUUUAGUCGAGAGUAUCCCAGGCUGCUCUGGUCUUUGCAUCUUGUGUGAUUAAAGGAAGAUGGUCUUUAUUGGUUUUACCACAAGAGACCACACAAACCACAAACGGAAUAUACCUCUCUCUUGUUACUACUGAAGAUAAGGUGCCCUUUUACCCAGCAAAGGAGUAACCAACCUUAGGAUAGAUCCCGGGGGUCUGAAGUCACAUUACUACUGGUCAUGGGGGAACAAUAUGCCAGGUGAGACAAAAUGAGCGCACUGUUAAAAUUGGAACAUGAACAUGUUUUCCGUUGAUCACACGCUGUGUGUGUAUUUGGGCAAUAAAGAGGAGUGUAUGGACACACAAUUCCGGAGGAGAAAAAGGAAGAGAAAACAAAAAGGUGGAAAGCAAAAAGGUGCCAUUCCGGAACAUACUGGAACUUGUGCCCAAGGUUUCUUGCGAAGCCAUUAUUUUUCUCAUGAAAAUGCAUGUGUGUGGUAAUGAAUUGUGUAGACGUGUUAAUGUCACAGAGUUGUAUAAAGUAGAAGUAGAUGUACUCUUAUUCACAACAUUAGUGGUGUGAUAUUACAUGGCUUCAACUAUGUAAUAUCAUAUCGCUAGUGUUGUAAUUACAUCUGUAAGAGUGCUUCUACUUCUACGUCAUACAACUCUGGUUACAGGGGCAUGGCAAAAAGUUUUGGGCCUAAAUAUGUGCUCUUGGUAAGCUGAGUAUACACUGCUCUGUCUGUGGCAAUAAUAAUUCAUUCCAAAUGUAGUGUUGCUUGAAUGUGAUCUCUUUUCUUGUCAGCAUCAGAAAUUGACUAAUUGUUAUUACUUAAUAUUUUAAUGCAUUCAUUACCACCACAGCACUCUUUCUCUCUUUCAUUGUGUAUUUAUAGCUACAUGGAUUUCUGUACGUGUAUCACAUGUGUUGACCUUGCUUAACGGUGGCAUUCAGACACGACUCUGACAUGCCCUAAGUCAAUUGUCAGAUUUUAUCUUUGCUGUGCUGAUAUCAGUGGCCACACGUGUGGACCUCCCUCGUGUUUCUCACACAAGAACGUGACCUACAUUGCUUAAGGCGCAGUUGAUUAGUACAAGGUUAACCGUGUCCUGAAACUGUCAACUUGUACAUUAGAGACAUUUUUUUAAGUCGCCUCUGAUAAGAUGCUAAACCCUAUCAACAUAGCUGGUUGUGUCUAGGCUAUUGAUAUCCAUGAGGGAAAGCAUAUCUUAAAAACUCCAAUGAGAAAGCAUUGGGGCUAUAUGAAAUUAGGUAGCCUAAUAUUAAACUAAUGAAAAUAAUGUUGCAUUGAGUCGUGGCAGGUAAGAUGUGGUUCAUGGGAAUGCCAAUAAAUAGGCCCUUAAAAAAACAAUGAUAUUUUACGAGUUAAGUUUAGUAAUUAUUUUGCCAAUUUAAAUGCAUGCUCUUUGACGACUGUGGCGUUAAUGGAAAGCCCCGUCGUUCCCCAGCUGCUGUCCAGCGAAUAUAAAAUGGCCUCAAAACAUCUCCAGCUGUCUACCGCCACAUUCUGCUUGGCUGUGAAACCAUUUGAGUUAUGGGUGUCAGUGACAACCGCCACCGACCGGCCCAUGAAACUUGUGCUUCGCACAUAAUGUUCGCUUGCUGUAGGACAAGUCAGCCUGUUGUGUGGCAUUUGGUGGCUAUUAAAUAAACUAUGACCCCCACAACCCCUCAUUUCUUGUCAAAGGUGAGCGUGGAGGAGCAGGUGUGUUAGUUGUCAGAUGUACUGUAGCCGAUAAAGCUGAGUGAGCAUGUGAUGGACCCAUGUGGCAAUGUUCAUUUAGGCUUAGUUGGUAUUAUUUGAUCAUUGGUCCGCAAUAUGUUGAAUGUAUUAUCAUGCAUUUCACUGUAAAAACUACAUUAAAGAAUAGCUAAGAACAGUAAACAUUUGCGAAGACACACAUGAUGGCAAUGUGCUGCAUCUAUCGUUUUCACAUAGUUAAUCCAAUAGCCCACAUGGCCUUACUUUGGCUGAUCAGUUUUAUGCACCAAAAAGGACUUUACCCAUUAUUUAUACAGUCUGUUUGAAUAAUUUCAAUUUCAAUUCUUUAUUAAGGGAUAGGCCCUUGAGAUGUAUCAUCUCUUUUUCGAGGGGGUCCCAUAAUUGGUUUGGCAGCCAUUUUAAAUUCCAUUCGUGCAUCAGUGCAUCAGUGACCACUGCAAGAUAAGCAGGAUGCUGAGAUCUGGACUGCAAUCAAUCAGUGAGCCCAACCCAGCCCAACCCGAACCUAACCCAACCCAGUUCAGUCCGUGCCAACCCAGUCAAGCUGCAAUAGCCCAGAAUCUUUACUUCUACUUUUAAAGACAUUUUGGGGUUUGUAUGUUUAUUUAUGACAAGAUAGUGAAAGAGUGUCAGGAAAUGAGUGGGAUGGAGAGAGACAGAGAAGGAAUGGGAAUUGACCAUUCCGGAUGACCGGGUAUAACUCAAACUCUGGUCCCCACAUUAAUGCUAUGGCUCCUUAGCUCACUAAGCCACAGUGCCCCCAGCUUUAUCUCUAUUUUUAAGAAAAUGCACAUGGUUACAUUACAUACAGUAUGCUCUGUUGCCAGCCAGACCUUCCCUUUUGACCAAAUAUGGUGGAGGAAACCUGACAACGACAACGUGUUGCGUGCAAUGACUUUCUCACUGACGUGCGGCAACCACGAGUUGAGGUGGAGCAUGGCAGGCCGCCUCUCACCUUUCCCCCCUGUCCCUGUCGAGGGCCCGCGUAGAUGGCGACAAUUGGCCCUGCGGCGAGGCUGGGCACUCGUCACGUCAGGGCAUGUCAAGAUCAGAAACACCCCCCUUCUAUUUAAAGGCCCCACUUUACCCUCUUGACACCACAGGCAUCUGUCCUAUAUAUAAGCCAGCCGCCUGAUCCCCUAGCCCAACUCCCACUCUCAACUGGCCAAGUGCGGGUAUUUGUGGCCUCCUAAAAAUGUAUCACAAGAUACAGACACUUCUCUUCCUAUGCAUAAUAAUACUGUGAGAAGUGGGCUGAUGGCAUUUAUGCAACCUGUGCUUUGAUGUCUUACUUGAUUACUUGACACAAUAUAACAUUUAUCUACAUGAUACGUGAAUGGCACUUCCCUAGUAGUAAUAAGUCUGUGAUUGGAUUAGUGAUUGAUCAUCUAGUUAAAUAUUUAAAGUAGGGUUAUAGAUUUAUGUCUUCUGAUCAAGUGUUACGCAAUGUCUUCAUGCGUGCAGAACUUCGAUCAGGAGCAGGUUUGUGCUUUUCAUGUUAAUAAAGAGGCCCUUUGGUAUCACAUUCCUCCAACUCUUUUUGAUUUUUUGAUGUAACACUAGGUAAUAUACUGCAUAAUAUGGUAUUUUCCUUUGUUUGGGCAAAUGUUUCUACAGUAUAGUGGCAUUUUGCUCUUUGGUGAGAUAGUUCAUUCAAAAUUAUUUAUGAUUCAGUUCACAGAUGCAGUCUUUGGUCAAAUAUAGGCCUAUGUUAAUCUUUAUGAAUCUUAAAAGUCAAACUUUGAGUUUAGGUUCUUGAACAAUUGAGGUUUGGUAGAUGCUUUUCAUCCAGAUGUGUUGUUUUCAAUCAUCUUCAAGAAUCCUUUCCUCAUCCUUGUGCUGUGCAUAACCAUCUUUUUCACAUUGAAAACUCAGACAAAUUGUACUUUGCAACUGUAUUUUAAUGUUUUCUUUUUAUGCUGUUGUGGUGUGUGUUGCAAUAAAAAGGAAAACAAACAGAG